rnacentral:rRNA from 1 species
UUARAUAACMAAACCAACUCGGUCUUCGGGCCGAACUGGUGAUGAAUCAUAKUAAUCUCACGAAKCGCAUGGCCUUGUGCCGGCGAURGGUCAUUCAAAUUUCUGCCCUAUCAGUUUUCRAUGGYAGUGUAGUGGACUACCAUGGCUUUAACGGGUGACGGAGAAUUAGGGUUCGAUUCCRGAGAGGGAGCCUGAGAAACGGCURCCACAUCCAAGGAAGGCAGCMGGCGCGCRAAUUACCCAAUCCUGACACAGGGAGGYAGUGACAAUAAAUAACAAUACCGGGCUUUUUAAGUCUGGKAAUUGGAAUGAGUACAAUUUAAAUCCCUUAACGAGGAUCCAUUGGAGGGCAAGUCWGGUGCCAGCAGCCGCGGUAAUACCAGCUCCAAUAGCGUAUAUUAAAGUUGUUGCAGUUAAAAAGCUCGUAGUUGGAUUUCUGGCCGUGACAGCCUGGUCUGUUCGCCUGCCUUCGGGCGGUUGCGGACGUGUGCCGGUGCAGUUCGGCCAUCCUGCCGGAGAAUGCCCCUUCCCUUCACUGGRUUUGGGGGCGGGAUCUGGCUCUUUUACUUUGAGAAA